UACGGGGGGAGCAAGCGUUGUUCGGAUUUACUGGGCGUAAAGGGCGCGUAGGUGGUGGCUUAAGCGUGCGGUGAAAGCUCGGGGCUCAACCCCGAGUCGGCCGUGCGAACUGGGCUCACUGGAGCAUAGUAGAGGCAGGUGGAAUUCCGGGUGUAGCGGUGGAAUGCGUAGAGAUCCGGAAGGACACCGGUGGCGAAGGCGGCCUGCUGGGCUAUGGCUGACACUGAGGCGCGACAGCGUGGGGAGCAAACAGG
rnacentral:rRNA from 1 species